CUGCAAUUAUAGCUUUUGAACAUUUUGUUGGAAUUCGGAGAAUGUCCUUUCUCCCAGAAGAACUAUGGCAGCGAAUUCUAGAAAUUGGAAUCGAAAGCAGGGGUCUCAGCUGCCAGGAUCUCUGCUGCGUCUCCAUCUCAUGCCGCCGCCUGCACCGCCUCUCCUCCGAGGAUCUUCUUUGGAACCGCCUUCUCUCCGCCGACUAUCCCCAAACCCAUCCUUCUUCUUCCACUUCUUCUAAAUCUCUAUAUAAAUUAAGGUUUGAGAGGGACAACGAGUGGAGAAUAGCUGCUCGUAGGAGGGCUGUGUUGAGAAAGGAGAGGAGAAUAGCUGCUCAUAGGAGGGCUGUGUUGAGAAAGGAGAGCCAGAUUGUGGAACAUUCUAGAAAACUCAGAGAAAUUCAGACACUUGUUGCUCAAGAAACCGCCACAGCCACACAAACUGCUCAAGACUUGUCCAAUUUGCUUAGGGCCAGACAAGCCUUUGUUCCUUUGAAUGUGUGGCAACCGGAGGUUGUCCGAAUUAUGCAAAACCAAAUGGUUGAGCAGAGUGCUGUGGCUGCUGAAUGUCGGAUACACGCUCUUGAGAUGGAACUAAAUCUUUGUAAGCAACAGAUUGAAGGGUUGGAGCUGUUCUAUAAAGAUGAAAAACGCAGGCUUGAUACUGCAAAAGAAGAGUUGACGUCUAUGAAGUAUCACCCUAUGGAGCAGCAUAAGACCAUAAGCCAAAGGGACAGUAAGCAUGUCAAGCGGAAGAAGAUGAAAAUAGGCAAUAGCUGUUGAAGUUACGUACGCAGAUUUUCUCAAGUAGCUUUGGAGAUAUCUAACCCUUCCAUUGGAUCAGUACUUAAGGAAAACAUUGCAUCGGUUGAGGUGUUGAUGAAAUUUGCUCAUCCUUCUUCCAUUGAAACUUGGAAAUUGUUCCGUCCAUGAAGACUGACUGUGCAAAUUCUGUGAUUACUGUACGGAGAAUGUAUUAGCAAUACGUAGUGAAAGCCUGAGGGUAUCAAAGUUAAAUCAUUAUGUGUAACUUGAGUUCAGAUGACCCCUUGUUCAUUCGAUUGUAGCCUUUUGACUUGUGGAAACCUUUUAAGUUUGAGGAAAGCUUGAUCAAAGGAUGGAGUGUAUCAUAUGCAGAUCAAUAAGUACUAUUAAUGAAGUAUCUAAAUUUAAAAAAUAAAA